UUUAUCAAUGAAUCUGACAUAUGGAA
rnacentral:piRNA from 1 species